rnacentral:tRNA from 1 species
GGGGGUGUAGCUCAGUCGGUAGAGCGCCUGCUUUGCAAGCAGGAUGUCCGGGGUUCGAUUCCCCGCUCCUCCA